GUGAUACAAUCUAUGCCAAACAACACAAGGAACACAACAGAAUAAUCGAAGUCAGCAAAUCGGUCAUGGGAAGUUUAUCCAGGUGAAUCGAAGAGAGUAAAUAGUCUCCACAGAAUUGUAUUCGGUUGAAAGGAACUAGCCAAAAGGUAUAAUUGUGCUCAUCGCAACAAAUACUUUCUACGGAAAUGUGGGUAUGUGUGUUCAUGUGUUACAGGUCCUUGUCAAAGUGCACAUGAGGACUGUUCAACCUGAUGAUCCAAUUAGAUGCAGGGAAGCACUAGAGUUUUUUUCUUCUGAUUAGCAAAGUGUGAAUCAAACUAUUUCGCCAGGCUUGAGGAGCAGCCUUUCUAAUCAACCCAUGUGGCUUUUAUCUUAAAUGUCGUGUGCGGUAUGGAAAGCCAAGUUCAGUGUGCCUGCACAAAACAUAGCUUCUAAACAAAAAAAAACCGCACCGGGUGCUCUGUUUGAACAGUGAAAAUAGACAGGAUGAUCACUGCUUGUGAACGCAAGUUUUCAAAUCGGGCCAUUGGAUCAGCUUCAUUCCAGACUUUGCCAGAUGCACAUCACCAAAGGAUAAUUAAGAAAUUUACAAGAGAAAAAACUUGCACAGAAUCGAGAGAAGCGUUGUCUCUCAACAAGAAUAAGAAUUCUCAGGUAUGUGCUUUUGAUGUCAUUAAUGUUAAUAUAUGACAAUGAUAUUAAGACAAUUUAGACACACAUCAAACAACGAGAAAUACAAUGAGGUUGACGGAGACGGGUCCAAUCUUCACCUCGUAAUGGUGUUAUUAGCACUAUCAUAUCACCAGAUAUUUCAACUAUGAGUAUUGUAGGUCAGCGACGAAGAAUUUUAAAAAACCAAAAAUAAAAUAGAUGUGUUAUUUUGGAAAUGAGAGUUGAUGGCGGUGGUAGGGUGAAGACUGCUGUGACAACUCUUCAGUCAAACUGUUCUUUGAAUGUAAGCAUAAGACAUUUCUUGUCUUGUUCUUAUCGUCUUGCCGGGUCAUAGAACAAUAAUUCACGGUUCAAAAUAAUUCACGGUUCAAAAGGAGCACAAUGUUACUAGAGUCUUUGAGUGUCCUAGCAUUAUCAAUCUUUGAUUUUGAACCAACAAAAAUGACCUAUAAUUAAGGGUAUUGAUGGCAUUACCUGCUAAGAAUCCAGGUGAAGCUGACAAUGACCUGUCUUUAGAAGGUUCUCUCGAAGAAGAGCAAGGUUCAGGAAACCUAACUCAAGGGGCGAGUAGAAACUCUAGGUAUUUUAGGGCAUCUAAAAUUCGGAGUAAAGAAGUUGUAUGAUAUCAACAAACAAACAAACUCCUGUAAAUAAACAAUGCUAGC
rnacentral:lncRNA from 1 species